UACGAAGGGGGCUAGCGUUGCUCGGAAUUACUGGGCGUAAAGGGCGCGUAGGCGGACAUUUAAGUCAGGGGUGAAAUCCCGAGGCUCAACCUCGGAACUGCCUUUGAUACUGGAUGUCUUGAGUAUGAGAGAGGUAUGUGGAACUCCGAGUGUAGAGGUGAAAUUCGUAGAUAUUCGGAAGAACACCAGUGGCGAAGGCGGCUCACUGGACGACUGUUGACGCUGAGGUGCGAAAGCGUGGGGAGCAAACAGG
rnacentral:rRNA from 1 species